ACCUAAUCCCAUUUUUUCUUGAGACCAUUAAGCAGGACCGGCCCUGAGGCCAAGCCAUCUAGGCAAAGGCCUAGGGCCUCCAAAAAUUGGCUUGGGUCCAGGGCCUCAAAAUGGAUACAAAUUCCAAGCGAUAAAUUCAAUAAAAAAGGGCCUGGAAAGAUUUUCAAAUCUGCUUUCAAUUUGGUGACUGACGACUUCCUUUCUUCCCCUGCUUCCACAUUUCUCCAGAAUCAAAUUCGACCUCCCGCCUCCACUUAUUUUAGUUUACUUUCUCUCGGUUUCUCCGGACUUCAAUUCAUGAUUCUAUUUCUUCAAUAUUCUCUCCAGAAUCCAGCCCAUAUCGAUCGGUAACAUCUCUUCAGGAAAAAAUGGAAAUGCAUAGCAGGCUGCCAAUGCCAUUGUUGAUUGUCCAAUAUCUUGGACUUGGACUUGGUCCCUUGGAUUUAUUUAUUUGUAUUUUGUUGUGUGUUUCUAUGUGCUAAUUUUGCUGAAAUGCUACUUAUGAUUUAUGAGUAUUAUAUUUUUUGGUUGUCCCAAUUACUUGUUGUGCUACUCAAAUUAGUAGAUUUCUGCUUAUGACUUUUGAAUGUUGCGUUUGCUUUUAAUUUAUUGCUUAUCUCAAGUUCAUCAUUU